CUUUCCCAGGGCCCCGUACCGGCUCGCAGCAGCCGAGCCCGGCCCCGGCCCCGGGCGCGCUGAGGGCGGGCCGCGCGGCGCUGCCCCCUGGCGGCCGGGCCCGGGAGCGCCGCAGAGGCCUUCCCCGAGAACAGCCACCACACAGCCCGAAACCAUUAUCUGCCUUCCAUUCUCCGACAGCCAGAGCAGCAGCUCAGGCGGCGCAGGGUGACUGCCCAGCUCACCCUUUCCAUCCCAGAAAAGGACCGAGAAAGUCACAAGCUGAGAACUACAAAACCACAACAUCCUGAAGAAGAAAACAUCUGAGCAACAGAGUGAAAAAAAUGUAAGCACGUGUACAGAUAAGAUCUGCUGCAAACGCUGGACUGCGCUUUUCGGUCUCUGCUCUGCCACUGAGCCCACUCAGCUCUUUCAGAUAACAUCAACAGCCAUGGAAGAUCAUCAAAGCAGAUUGUUUGUCCCUAAUAAAGGAGCAGACUGUCAGGCUCAAAGCAUAUAAGUAACGUGAAAGAGCAAAUCCAGCUCAGGCAAGAGAGCUGAACCAGCUAGCACUGGAAAGUCUUGUGCUGCAAACACAGACCACAUACAUCCAAGCUGCCUUAGACUGAAACGGCAAGAAAGCACCAAAACAAAAAGUACCAGUAUUAUCAUAGCCUAUCUUCUUCAGUAUUUUGUUCUAAAAGGGUAACAAUAACAAGAGUUCCUCAGUUAAAAAAUGGAACAAAAUGCCAGUAUGAGCAGUGUUUGUCAAAAAUACAGCAAGGGCUGACCACCAGUGUGAAGUGUUCACUCCACAAGUGCCAAAUUUUUAAUUAAAAAAAAAAAAAACAAAAAAACAUUUAUUA